UACGGAGGGUGCAAGCGUUGUUCGGAAUUACUGGGCGUAAAGCGCACGUAGGCGGUUUGGUAGGUCGGAUGUGAAAGCCCUGGGCUCAACCCAGGACGUGCAUCCGAAACCAUCAGACUUGAGUACGGGAGAGGGAAGUGGAAUUCCUGGUGUAGAGGUGAAAUUCGUAGAUAUCAGGAGGAACACCGGUGGCGAAGGCGGCUUCCUGGACCGAUACUGACGCUGAGGUGCGAAAGCGUGGGGAGCAAACAGG
rnacentral:rRNA from 1 species